UUGCAUGGCUGCAGCUUCGGGUUGUAAACCUCUUUAGCAGGGAAGAAGCGUAAGUGACGGUACUGCAGAAAAAGCGCGGGCUAACUACGUGCCAGCAGCCGCGGUAAUACGUAGGGCGCAAGCGUUAUCCGGAAUUAUUGGGCGUAAAGAGCUCGUAGGCGGUUUGUCGCGUCUGCUGUGAAAACCCGAGGCUCAACCUCGGGCUGCAGUGGGUACGGGCAGACUAGAGUGCGGUAGGGGAGAUUGGAAUUCCUGGUGUAGCGGUGGAAUGCGCAGAUAUCAGGAGGAACACCGAUGGCGAAGGCAGAUCUCUGGGCCGUUACUGACGCUGAGGAGCGAAAGGGUGGGGAGCAAACAGGCUUAGAUACCCUGGUAGUCCACCCCGUAAACGUUGGGAACUAGUUGUGGGGGCCUUUCCACGGUCUCCGUGACGCAGCUAACGCAUUAAGUUCCCCGCCUGGGGAGUACGGCCGCAAGGCUAAAACUCAAAGGAAUUGACGGGGACCCGCACAAGCGGCGGAGCAUGCGGAUUAAUUCGAUGCAACGCGAAGAACCUUACCAAGGCUUGACAUACACCGGAAACGUCUGGAAACAGUCGCCCCUUUUUGGUCGGUGUACAGGUGGUGCAUGGUUGUCGUCAGCUCGUGUCGUGAGAUGUUGGGUUAAGUCCCGCAACGAGCGCAACCCUCGUUCUAUGUUGCCAGCACGUUAUGGUGGGAACUCAUGGGAUACUGCCGGGGUCAACUCGGAGGAAGGUGGGGAUGACGUCAAAUCAUCAUGCCCCUUAUGUCUUGGGCUUCACGCAUGCUACAAUGGCCGGUACAAAGGGCUGCAAUACCGUGAGGUGGAGCGAAUCCCAAAAAGCCGGUCCCAGUUCGGAUUGAGGUCUGCAACUCGACCUCAUGAAGUCGGAGUCGCUAGUAAUCGCAGAUCAGCAACGCUGCGGUGAAUACGUUCCCGGGUCUUGUACACACUACCCGUCAAGUCAUGAAAGUCGGUAACACCAA
rnacentral:rRNA from 1 species